rnacentral:tRNA from 2 species
GCUGCUGUAGCUCAAUCGGUAGAGCGCAUCCUUGGUAAGGAUGAGGUAGACGGUUCAAUCCCGUCCAGCAGCUCCA